GACGAACGCUGGCGGCGUGCUUAAUACAUGCAAGUCGAACGGACAGGCUCCUUUGUGGGUUCCUGCGCGGCGAACGGGUAGGUAACAAGUGAGUAAUCUGCCCUUGACUUCCGGCUUACUUCCGGAAGCUGAGGCUAAUACACGAUAGCUAUUAUUGCAUCAUGGUGGGUGUUGGAAAGCAACGGCGGUAUUGGUUGGACUGGCGGCUUACCAGCUUGUUCGUGGGGUAAUGGCUUACUAAGGGUGAGAACGGUAGCCGGCCUGAGGGGGGGAUCGGCCACAUUGGGACUGAGAGACGGCCCAGACUCCUACGGGAGGCAACAGUGGAGAGUAUUGCAGAAUAGGCGGGAGUCAGAUGCGACGACGCCGCGUGCGUGAUGACGGGCUGCGAGUGGUGAACCGCUGUCAGCAGGGACGAAGCACGUGGUGACGGUACCUGCAGAGAAAGCACCGGCUAACUACGUG
rnacentral:rRNA from 1 species